UGAACCUGCGGAAGGAU
rnacentral:rRNA from 3 species